rnacentral:rRNA from 1 species
UGGGGAAUAUUGGACAAUGGAGGCAACUCUGAUCCAGCAAUUCUGUGUGUGUGAAGAAGGUUUUAGGACUGUAAAACACUUUUAGUAGGGAAGAAAGAAAUGACGGUACCUACAGAAGAAGCGACGGCUAAAUACGUGCCAGCAGCCGCGGUAAUACGUAUGUCGCGAGCGUUAUCCGGAAUUAUUGGGCUUAAAGGGCAUCUAGGCGGUUAAACAAGUUGAAAGUGAAAACCUGUGGCUCAACCAUAGGCUUGCCUACAAAACUGUAUAACUAGAGUACUGGAAAGGUGGGUGGAACUACACGAGUAGAGGUGAAAUUCGUAGAUAUGUGUAGGAAUGCCGAUGAUGAAGAUAACUCACUGGACAGCAACUGACGCUGAAGUGCGAAAGCUAGGGGAGCAAACAGG